GGGAAUAUAGCUUAGUGGUAGAGUACAUGCUUAACAUGCAUGAAGACUUGUGUUCAAUUCUCAGCACCCUCC
rnacentral:tRNA from 1 species